UACGGGGGGGGCAAGCGUUGUUCGGAAUUACUGGGCGUAAAGGGUCUGUAGGUGGCUUGCUAAGUCAGACGUGAAAUCCCUCGGCUUAACCGGGGAACUGCGUCUGAUACUGGCGAGCUUGAGUGCAGGAGAGGAACGCGGAAUUCCAGGUGUAGCGGUGAAAUGCGUAGAUAUCUGGAGGAAUACCGGUGGCGAAGGCGGCAUCCUGGACCGGCAUUGACGCUGAUGAGCGAAAGCUAGGGGAGCAAACGGG
rnacentral:rRNA from 1 species